rnacentral:rRNA from 1 species
UGCAAGUCGAGCGGAGAGAGGUAGCUUGCUACUGAUCUUAGCGGCGGACGGGUGAGUAAUGCUUAGGAAUCUGCCUAUUAGUGGGGGACAACAUUCCGAAAGGAAUGCUAAUACCGCAUACGCCCUACGGGGGAAAGCAGGGGAUCAUUAGACCUUGCGCUAAUAGAUGAGCCUAAGUCAGAUUAGCUAGUUGGUGGGGUAAAGGCCUACCAAGGCGACGAUCUGUAGCGGGUCUGAGAGGAUGAUCCGCCACACUGGGACUGAGACACGGCCCAGACUCCUACGGGAGGCAGCAGUGGGGAAUAUUGGACAAUGGGGGGAACCCUGAUCCAGCCAUGCCGCGUGUGUGAAGAAGGCCUUUUGGUUGUAAAGCACUUUAAGCGAGGAGGAGGCUACUCUGGUUAAUACCUGGGGAUAGUGGACGUUACUCGCAGAAUAAGCACCGGCUAACUCUGUGCCAGCAGCCGCGGUAAUACAGAGGGUGCGAGCGUUAAUCGGAUUUACUGGGCGUAAAGCGUACGUAGGCGGCUUUUUAAGUCGGAUGUGAAAUCCCUGAGCUUAACUUAGGAAUUGCAUUCGAUACUGGGAAGCUAGAGUAUGGGAGAGGAUGGUAGAAUUCCAGGUGUAGCGGUGAAAUGCGUAGAGAUCUGGAGGAAUACCGAUGGCGAAGGCAGCCAUCUGGCCUAAUACUGACGCUGAGGUACGAAAGCAUGGGGAGCAAACAGGAUUAGAUACCCUGGUAGUCCAUGCCGUAAACGAUGUCUACUAGCCGUUGGGGCC